rnacentral:rRNA from 1 species
ACGCUGGCGGCACGCCUAACACAUGCAAGUCGAACGAAGUAGCAAUACUUAGUGGCAGACGGGUGAGUAACAUGUAGGUAUCUGCCCUUUGGCCUGGAAUAACACGAGGAAACUUGUGCUAAUACCGGAUAAGUCUUUACGGAGAAAGCUUUAUGCACCAUUGGAUGAGCCCGCACUUGAUUAGUUUGUUGGUAGGGUAAUGGCCUACCAAGACUAUGAUCAAUAGCUGAUUUGAGAGGAUGAUCAGCCACAUUGGGACUGAGACACGGCCCAAACUCCUACGGGAGGCAGCAGUGGGGAAUCUUGCACAAUGGAGGAAACUCUGAUGCAGCGAUGCCGCGUGAGUGAAGAAGGCCUUUGGGUUGUAAAGCUCUUUCGUCGGGGAAGAAAAUGACUGUACCCGAAUAAGAAGGUCCGGCUAACUUCGUGCCAGCAGCCGCGGUAAUACGAAGGGACCUAGCGUAGUUCGGAAUUACUGGGCUUAAAGAGUUCGUAGGUGGUUGAAAAAGUUGGUGGUGAAAUCCCAGAGCUUAACUCUGGAACUGCCAUCAAAACUUUUCAGCUAGAGUAUGAUAGAGGAAAGCAGAAUUUCUAGUGUAGAGGUGAAAUUCGUAGAUAUUAGAAAGAAUACCAAUUGCGAAGGCAGCUUUCUGGAUCAUUACUGACACUGAGGAACGAAAGCAUGGGUAGCGAAGAGGAUUAGAUACCCUCGUAGUCCAUGCCGUAAACGAUGUGUGUUAGACGUUGGAAAUUUAUUUUCAGUGUCGCAGGGAAACCGAUAAACACACCGCCUGGGGAGUACGACCGCAAGGUUAAAACUCAAAUGAAUUGACGGGGACCCGCACAAGUAGUGGAGCAUGUGGUUUAAUUCGAAGAUACGCGCAGAACCUUACCAACACUUGACAUGUUCGUCGCGACUCUAAGAGAUUAGAGUUUUCGGUUCGGCCGGACGAAACACAGGUGCUGCAUGGCUGUCGUCAGCUCGUGUCGUGAGAUGUUGGGUUAAGUCCCGCAACGAGCGCAACCCUCACUUUUAGUUGCCAUCAUUAAGUUGGGCACUCUGAAAGAACUGCCAGUGAUAAGCUGGAGGAAGGUGGGGAUGACGUCAAGUCCUCAUGGCCCUUACGUGUUGGGCUACACACGUGCUACAAUGGCAUCUACAACAGGAAGCAAAACGGCAACGUUAAGCAAAUCCCGAAAAGAUGCCUCAGUUCGGAUUGCACUCUGCAACUCGAGUGCAUGAAGCUGGAAUUACUAGUAAUCGUGGAUCAGCGUGCCACGGUGAAUGCGUUCCCGGGUCUUGUACACACCGCC